AGAAAGCUUUAAUGGAGUCAUGUUGUCUGACUUUGAAAGCCAAUCCUCGUUUGGUGAAUGUAAGAAAAAGCAGCUUUAACAAUGGAGAUAAUGCAUUUCUGGGGGAGAGAACCAGAGGGAGUCUUGAUAACAGUUUGUGGAUCAAUCAUGUUGAUCAUAAAAAAGAAAUGAAGAUCAAAACCGGUUCUUCUGCGAUUCUCACAUCGAAUAAUCGCAGAGAAGCCAAGAUUGUGCAACAACGUCGAUACGAUAGAUGAAAACUCGACCCCAAGAAUGUGGCUUCGAUCAUACUGGGAGGAGGUGCAGGGACUCGUCUCUUUCCGCUUACUCGAAGGGCAGCUACACCUGCUGUUCUGAUUGGAGGAUGCUAUAAGCUGAUAGACAUUCCGAUGAGCAACUGUUUCAACAGUGGGAUAAACAAGAUCUUCGUUCUGAUGCAGUUCAACUCGGCUUCCCUUAACCGACACCUUGCACAAACAUAUUAUGGCAAUGGUAUCAAUUUUGGAGAUGGAUUUGUGGAGGUUCUUGCUGCUACUCAAACAUGAGGAGAAGAAGGGAACAAGUGGUUCCAAGGAACAGCUGAUGCUGUGAGGCAAUUUAUAUGGGCAUUUG